AGAGUUUGAUCAUGGCUCAGGACGAACGCUGGCGGCGUGCUUAACACAUGCAAGUCGAACGGAAAGGCCCUGCUUGCAGGGUACUCGAGUGGCGAACGGGUGAGUAACACGUGGGUGAUCUGCCCUGCACUUCGGGAUAAGCCUGGGAAACUGGGUCUAAUACCGGAUAGGAGCCAUUUUUAGUGUGAUGGUUGGAAAGUUUUUUCGGUGUAGGAUGAGCUCGCGGCCUAUCAGCUUGUUGGUGGGGUAAUGGCCUACCAAGGCGGCGACGGGUAGCCGGCCUGAGAGGGUGGACGGCCACAUUGGGACUGAGAUACGGCCCAGACUCCUACGGGAGGCAGCAGUGGGGAAUAUUGCACAAUGGGCGCAAGCCUGAUGCAGCGACGCCGCGUGGGGGAUGACGGCCUUCGGGUUGUAAACUCCUUUCGCUAGGGACGAAGCUUUUUGUGACGGUACCUAGAUAAGAAGCACCGGCUAACUACGUGCCAGCAGCCGCGGUAAUACGUAGGGUGCGAGCGUUGUCCGGAAUUACUGGGCGUAAAGGGCUCGUAGGUGGUUUGUCGCGUCGUCUGUGAAAUUCCGGGGCUUAACUCCGGGCGUGCAGGCGAUACGGGCAUAACUUGAGUACUGUAGGGGUAACUGGAAUUCCUGGUGUAGCGGUGAAAUGCGCAGAUAUCAGGAGGAACACCGAUGGCGAAGGCAGGUUACUGGGCAGUUACUGACGCUGAGGAGCGAAAGCAUGGGUAGCGAACAGGAUUAGAUACCCUGGUAGUCCAUGCCGUAAACGGU
rnacentral:rRNA from 1 species